rnacentral:rRNA from 1 species
CCUACGGGAGGCAGCAGUAGGGAAUAUUGCUCAAUGGGGGAAACCCUGAAGCAGCAACGCCGCGUGAAGGAUGACGGCUUUAGGAUUGUAAACUCCUUUUGUGAGGGAAGAUAAUGACGGUAUCUCACGCAUAACCACCGGCUAACUCCGUGCCAGCAUCCGCGGUAAUCCGGCGGGUGCACGCGUUACUCCGAAUCAUUGGGGGUAAAGCGUGCGCAGGCGGGCUUGUAAGUCACAUGGGAAAUCCUGUAGCUUAACGACAGAACUGCAUUUGAAACUAGGUGUCUAGAGUGUGGGAGAGGUAGGUGGAAUUCUUGGUGUAGCGGUGAAAUCCGUAGAUAUCAGGAGGAACACCGGCUGCGAAGGCGGCCUGCUGGACUGAGACUGACGUUGAGGCUCGAAAGCGUGGGGAGCAAACAGGAUUAGAUACCCCAGUAGUC